AUAUUUGUCUUGCUCUUUUUCAGUUUUGUUCUAACUUGAUAUGAUGAUGUAUAUAAUGACUCUUGCCCUACCCGGGGACCAUGUAUUGAAGGGGUUUUUGGAACAGGGAGAUGGAACAGGGGCUUGCUCCAUUCACUCCAAGCAUCGACCUGGUAUUGCAGUACCUCCAGGUACGAUGCACCAACA